AUUAAUCUAAAACAGGAACGGCAGCCUCCGAUUCUUCAUCGGAGCUGUAGUGUAUGGCAGGACGGAAC
rnacentral:sRNA from 1 species